AUUUUGCGCAAUGGGGGAAACCCUGACGCAGCAACGCCAUGUGUGGGAUGAAGCAUUUCGGUGUGUAAACCACUGUCAGCAGGGAAUAAAUGGUCGCCUCGGCGGCAGUUGAAUGUACCUGCAAAGGAAGCCCCGGCUAACUUCGUGCCAGCAGCCGCGGUAAUACGAGGGGGGCAAAUGUUGUUCGGAAUCACUGGGCGUAAAGGGAGCGUAGGCGGUUUUUUAAGUUAGGUGUUUAAUCCCGGGGCCCAACCCCGGACAGGCACCUAAAACUGGAAAACUUGAAUAGUGGAGAGGUCAGUGGAAUUGGGGGUGUAGCGGUGGAAUGCGUAGAGAUCCCCAAGAACACCAGUUGCGAAGGCGGCUGACUGGACACAUAUUGACGCUGAGGCUCGAAAGCAUGGGGAGCAAACAGG
rnacentral:rRNA from 1 species